rnacentral:lncRNA from 1 species
GAAUAGGUCAUGCUUCUCCUCCAUGCCUUUACCUGUGCUAUUACCUCUACCCAAAAUAUCCUCUUCCCCUUUUAUGACCACUCCCAGACAAUAUUAAUCCUUCCCUCUUUGGUGUUUCUGUUGUCAUCUGAGUGAUUUAUUCAGCAAACAGAGUCCAUAGCCUGUGCUUGCUGUGGAGAAAUCUCAAGCCUCAAGGGCUAACAAGCAAGAGACAAACACGAAAACCAGUAUUUUGUCUUAGAGGUGAGGAGUGCAGUG